rnacentral:tRNA from 1 species
GUCCCCAUAGCGCAAUGGAUAGCGCAUUGGACUUCUAAUCCAAAGGUCGUGGGAUCGAAUCCCGCUUGGGAAG